rnacentral:rRNA from 1 species
GGGCGUAAGGGCUCGCAGGCGGUUUCUUAAGUCUGAUGUGAAAGCCCCCGGCUCAACCGGGGAGGGUCAUUGGAAACUGGGAAACUUGAGUGCAGAAGAGGAGAGUGGAAUUCCACGUGUAGCGGUGAAAUGCGUAGAGAUGUGGAGGAACACCAGUGGCGAAGGCGACUCUCUGGUCUGUAACUGACGCUGAGGAGCGAAAGCGUGGGGAGCGAACAGGAUUAGAUACCCUGGUAGUCCACGCCGUAAACGAUGAGUGCUAAGUGUUAGGGGGUUUCCGCCCCUUAGUGCUGCAGCUAACGCAUUAAGCACUCCGCCUGGGGAGUACGGUCGCAAGACUGAAACUCAAAGGAAUUGACGGGGGCCCGCACAAGCGGUGGAGCAUGUGGUUUAAUUCGAAGCAACGCGAAGAACCUUACCAGGUCUUGACAUCCUCUGACAACCCUAGAGAUAGGGCUUUCCCUUCGGGGACAGAGUGACAGGUGGUGCAUGGUUGUCGUCAGCUCGUGUCGUGAGAUGUUGGGUUAAGUCCCGCAACGAGCGCAACCCUUGAUCUUAGUUGCCAGCAUUCAGUUGGGCACUCUAAGGUGACUGCCGGUGAC